AAAUAAGAAGCAAUUAUUGUAUUUAGUUUCGACCUAACCCUUGAUGAAAACUCAUCCUUAUUUA
rnacentral:tRNA from 1 species